rnacentral:rRNA from 1 species
CGCAAGUUGCGCCCGAAGCCAUCCGGCCGAGGGCACGUCUGCCUGGGUGUCACGCAACGUCGCCCCCCCCAAGAAACGCGCCCCGCCACGGCUGGGRCGCGGGCAAGAGGGGGCGGAAUCUGGCCUCCCGUGAUCUCCCGCUCGCGGUUGGCCCAAAAGAAGGGUCCCGGCGACGGCGGCCGCGACGAUCGGUGGUUGACAGACCCUCGGAAGCAGUCGCGCCCGGCCGUCCCCCGGGGGAACCCGCAGAAGGCCCCGGCGCCUCCCCGAUGCGGGGAACGAGCGCUCCGACCGCGACCCCAGGUCAGGCGGGACCACCCGCUGAGUUUAAGCAUAUCAAUAAGCGGAGGAAAAGAAACUUACCAGGAUUCCCCUAGUAACGGCGAGCGAACCGGGAAGAGCCC